UGGCACUUUCAGUGUCCGAGUUGUAAUUUGAAGAAGGUAUCUUUGGGUCUGGCUCUUGUCUAUGUUUCUUGGAACAGAACGUCACAGAGGGUGAGAAUCCCGUGCGAUGAGAUGACCCAGACCUAUGUAAAGUUCCUUCGAAGAGUCGAGUUGUUUGGGAAUGCAGCUCUAAGUGGGUGGUAAAUUCCAUCUAAAGCUAAAUAUUGGCGAGAGACCGAUAGCGAACAAGUACAGUGAUGGAAAGAUGAAAAGAACUUUGAAAAGAGAGUGAAAAAGUACGUGAAAUUGUUGAAAGGGAAGGGCUUGAGAUCAGACUUGGUAUUUUGUAUGUUACUCUUUCGGGGGUGGCCUCUACAGUUUACCGGGCCAGCAUCAGUUUGGGCGGUAGGAGAAUUGCAAAGAAAUGUGGCACUGCUUCGGUAGUGUGUUAUAGUCUUUGUCGAUACUGCCAGCCUAGACUGAGGACUGCGGCUUCGGCCUAGGAUGUUGGCAUAAUGAUCUUAAGUCGCCCGUCUUGAA
rnacentral:rRNA from 1 species